UCCAAUCAACCCCAAAUAACCCCAAUAUCUUACAACCGAGAUCAAACAACCCAAUUUCAACCAAGAUCGCCUCCGUAGUCAUCUACAAAAACGUAAACUUAGUUCUCCGAUCACAAAUGAACCAAGGCUAAACGGUAUUUUAAUAUUAAGAUUUACAUACCUCGACGAAGGGAAGGUGAGCGGGCAGCGAUCACUUGGCCUUGACGAUGGUGGUCGGCGGCCAUGAUAGUUGAAGCAGUGGAGAUUUAAUUCCUCCAUUUGGCGGUUUUGAUUUGCGUGCUCAGAUCUGCAUACUCCUUCGUCGGCCACCCAACCCCUUCUCCAGCGAUCCAGAUCUGCGUGCUCGACCCGCGUGCUCGUCUUGGGACGCAGACCAGAGGGAGAGCGAAGAAGAAGGAGAGGCAGAGGGAGAGCUAGAGUUUAGGGGUCUCAGUCGGUGGGGGAGAAGAGAGGUGGGAGAGGAGAGGAGAGGUCUGAAGAAG
rnacentral:lncRNA from 1 species